rnacentral:rRNA from 1 species
AGUCGAGGGGUAUAGUUUUCGGACUUAGAGACCGGCGCACGGGUGCGUAACGCGUAUGCAAUCUGCCUUGUACAAAGGGAUAGCCCAGAGAAAUUUGGAUUAAUACCUUAUAGUAUGUUGAGGGGACAUCCCCUUAUCAUUAAAGAUUUAUCGGUACAAGAUGAGCAUGCGUCCCAUUAGCUAGUUGGUGUGGUAACGGCAUACCAAGGCUAUGAUGGGUAGGGGUCCUGAGAGGGAGAUCCCCCACACUGGUACUGAGACACGGACCAGACUCCUACGGGAGGCAGCAGUGAGGAAUAUUGGACAAUGGGCGCAAGCCUGAUCCAGCCAUGCCGCGUGCAGGAUGAAGCAUCUAUGGUGUGUAAACUGCUUUUAUACGGGAAGAAACCCUGGCUCGUGAGCCAGAUUGACGGUACCGUAGGAAUAAGGAUCGGCUAACUCCGUGCCAGCAGCCGCGGUAAUACGGAGGAUCCAAGCGUUAUCCGGAAUCAUUGGGUUUAAAGGGUCCGUAGGCGGUUUUAUAAGUCAGUGGUGAAAUCCGGUAGCUCAACUAUCGAACGGCCAUUGAUACUGUAGAACUUGAAUUAUUGUGAAGUAACUAGAAUAUGUAGUGUAGCGGUGAAAUGCUUAGAUAUUACAUGGAAUACCAAUUGCGAAGGCAGGUUACUAACAAUACAUUGACGCUGAUGGACGAAAGCGUGGGGAGCGAACAGGAUUAGAUACCCUGGUAGUCCACGCCGUAAACGAUGGAUACUAGCUGUUCGGUAGCAAUACUGAGUGGCUAAGCGAAAGUGAUAAGUAUCCCACCUGGGGAGUACGAAACGCAGUUUGAAACUCAAGAAUUGACGGGGGCC